AACUUUCCCUUCUUACACAAAGUCUUGCUUUGUUCCCCAGGCUGACCCAGAAUUCCUGAGCUCAAGUGAUCCUCCUGCCUCAGCCUUCUGAGUAGCUGAGAUGGCAGGUGUGUGGCUCAGCCUCCUCCCACCCCGAGUAAUAUCUUUGACAAUCCACUUGUGUUGCUGGAGGUGUCUCACACAUCCAGAUUCCCCAGCAUACAUGCAGAUCAACAGAACAACACAGCACAACCCAGCUGCAAAGAUGCAGAGCUCACAGGGGUGGGUAGAUACAAAUGAUGCUUUUAUUCCCGCUGGCCUCCCACUGCCUCCCCUACCCCAUGAGAACAGCUAUUCCUUAUUCACUGCUUCAGGGAAAAGAUUGGAAGGCAGAAGGCUGUGUUACAACAUCUUUGGACUUAAAGGAACCAAGAGUCAAGGCAGGAACUAAAGGUUUAAGGAGAAACUGGAGGUGACAUGUGGCAAUGAAACAGAGAGACAAUGAUGACUCUAUCAUCACUGAGAGGCUUCAGGGUGCAAAGGGCUUACUACACAAGCACGAUGAACUAGAGUUCAGAUUCUCAGCACCUAUGUCACAUGUCUAUAAUAUUAGCACUGGGGAGGCAUCCUGGUGACCUGCGGGCCAGAGUGUCUAGCCAAAAUGGUAAGCUCCAUGAUCAGUAAGAGAUGCUGUCUCAAUAAGGUGAAUAGCAGUAGAAGACACACAACAUAGACCUCUGGCCUUCAGACAUGUAUGCAUAUUGAACUAUACAUUGAAUAAAUGGAGGGGGAGGAGGAGGAAGGGAGAAGGAGGAGGAGGUAGUGGAAGAAGAAAAGGAAAAAGAGGAGGAGGAAAAGGAGGAAGAGGAAGGAGAAGGAAGAGGAAGGAGAAGGAGAAGAAGGAGAAGGAGAAGGAGGAGAAGGAGGAGAAGGAGGAGAAGGAAAAGGAGAAGAAGGAAAAGAAGGAGAAGGAGAAGAAGGAGAAGAAGGAAGAAGUUGGCCUUGAUAUACUGAUAUACUCAUUAGUCAGUGCUACGCCAGAAAGCUGCCUGCACCAGAGCCCAAGACAGAGCUCCAGACACAGGGCGCUGGGCACCUUCAUCCCAAAAUGCAAAACCACAGGCAAUGGCCUUCACUAAUGGCUACUAUAGGAGCCUUCAAGAAGCCUGGGGGCCUGAGCAAAUCUGAAGUACCACAGAGAAGCAUCUUGAUGGACCACAAACAAGGGCUAGGCAGUCAAGAGGAGCCUAUGCAGAAUGCAUGCCAUGUAGAUAUCUAUAGGGCCAGGACCAACAGGACCACAGAGAGCCUCCCCCUGCAACUUGGCAGUGUGGACCUUACCUGGAGCACCACUAGCCUCUAUGCCCGUGGUGGAUUUGAUGAAGCACAUUCGGAAGCUGCCUGGGAGAGGGAAAAGCUCCAUUUUCCCACCCUCUUUGGACCUCAGUUAGGGUUGAGCCUAGUGCUAUCACAAGCCAAAACCAGCAGAGCAUCUUGAGUUUGUUUUCCCCCGCCGACUGCCAGCAGCUGGGGUCCUUGCGAAGAGCAAGCCUCCCUUUUCUUCUCAUCUCCACUUCACAGCACUAAUAGCGCUCAUAAUGACACCACGCAUUUACAUAAUACACUCCUCAGAAGGUACUCCAGGAGCCCCUAUAGGAGCUCAUCUCCGUGAUCAUUAAAAUAUCUCUGCCAGGUGGGUCUGAAGCAGGAACCAAAGUACCCAUGAGACAGAACAGCAAACCGUGGCGCAGAGAGGGCUGCUACUUUCUGAAAAGUCACACAGCUUCUCACCUUAACACGGAUGGAUAGCCUUAAGUGCCCCUCCAGUCCCCCCCCCCCCCAGACAGAUCUGGAAGCUCCCUGUAGCUCUGGGAUUGAGGAAGGAGUCACGUGGUGCUUUCUCUCUUUUUUUCACCAAGCCACCAAAGCUCCCAGAGUGCAAAUCGAUACUAACCACAGAAUUUCACUGGAGAAGUACUGGGAAUGAUGGGAAUGAUGGUGGCAGAGGAAACGGUGUCUAGAAUCGAAACUAAGAAUGGGGUUUCAUUUCCAAACCUUCCAGGGACUCCUCUGUUCUGUUAAUUCCAUAAAUACAACCUCCGUCUCCAUAAUUGUCAUAGGCACCCGCUUUAAACGGUAAUUGAAUCUGCUUAUAAAUAGUAUUUUCAAUGUAUCCUAUUGGACAGAAGUUGCAGCAAGAGGCAUCCAUCUCCUUACAUCCUGCCCAGUGUGGAGAAAGAGGACCACUGCCACAGGAACCACCCCCUCUGUGUGAUUAAGUGGUAACAAUACAAACGGGCGUAGAAGGAUGAGAGAACAGUAGCUUCCGGUUGUUUCUGAGGCAAUGCCUGGUGUGUACUUGACAAGACAAGCUCACCAAGCACGGAUCAGCGCCAGCCACCAUGCUGUCCUUUCCUGACAGCCCACAAGAGUCCUGAACCUGGGAUCCACAACAUGACUCUCUGCUGCCUGGAUGGUUGUUACUGACGUCUGCACUUCUGAGACCCCUUUGGUCCAGAGAUGUCUCCUCCAAAUGGAUCCCCAAAGCAAAGCCUGGUCCCACUUCCUGCCAUUCCUGCCAUUCUACCUUCCUGGGGUGGCCUCUUGGUUCUUGGCACCCACUGAAAUAGUGGGUCUUAAGGUUUGCCCUGGCUUGCCCGUGAAGGUCUAUUUCGCUCUGAGUCACUCUCAUUUCCUCAAUGCCUGGUUUGAGUUAUUAUGUUUGAGCACCAAGAGAGGAGGGGUAUGGCUGUGACUUUGACUCUGAGUUUCAUGUCCUGCCUGCUUCCUCCACCAUAAGCAGUCAAUAAACCCGACAGACACAGGUUCAAUUCCCAGCAGUGAGCAAACUAAAACCCAGCUAGG